CCCUUAGAUGUUCUGGGCCGCACGCGCGCUACACUGAUGCAUUCAACGAGCCUAUCCUUGACCGACAGGUCCGGGUAAUCUUUGAAUCUGCAUCGUGACGGGGAUAGAUUAUUGCAAUUAUUAAUCUUCAACGAGGAAUGCCUAGUAGGCGCAAGUCAUCAGCUUGCGUCGAUUACGUCCCUGCCCUUUGUACACACCGCCCGUCGCUCCUACCGAUUGGGUGUGCUGGUGAAAUGUUCGGAUCGGCCGUUUGUCGCGGUUUCCGCGUCAUGUGGCUGGGAAGUUCAUUAAACCCUCCCACCUAGAGGAAGGAGAAGUCGUAACA
rnacentral:rRNA from 1 species